UUAAUUUCCUCCUUUUACAACUGCUGCUGGUACUGGUAUCAUGCUUUGUUUUAUUAUAACUUUGCUGUAAUUUGGUUUUGCAGAUACAUUAUGUUCAGUAGCUGUUAAAAACCCAUGGCCAUGGAUAGUUGGAACUGAAGCUCCCAGACAAGUGCUGCAAUCUGAAGUUGUUAGAUUCGUGCUACAGGCAGCGUGACCAUAGGCGAAAGCAUUUGGACUUAUAGCGAAAAGAUCAACUUUAGUAUAAACUCCAGAAUUGCAAAGUACACUCUUCACUGUAGUUCUUGGAUCACUUCUGGCAACAGUACAUGAGAGCCCCAGUAAUACCAAUCCUCUCAAAGAUAUGUUCGCAUAACCCAUUCUUUCUUUUUCUGUUGUUUAUCACUUCUCGAUAAUAUGUGUGAUAUGUUGGUUUCUUCGCUUGCUUUGACACUAUCAACCAUAUAUUGUCCUUCUAAUUUUUUUUAAUGGUCUUGAAAUUUCUAUGUCUCUUCUGUUGUUUUUUCCUUGUGUAUAUGAUAAUGUGGGCCAAUUCCAUUUCAAUGUGAUUGGAGAACUUCUCUAAAAUCUCAAGGCUGAUAUAAAGAGCUUCCAAGUUAGACUGAAUUAUUCUGUUCUUAGAGAGCUUCCAAGUUAAACUGAAUUAUUCUGUUUUUAAUUUGUUUAUAGGGACUGCAGUAUUUAUGUAUAGUUUUUUUCACUUGCCCUUUUUUAGAGCCUCUGCAAGUUUAGAAAUUUCUUAUUUGUAUGCAGAGCCGUGCCUGAGGGUGUUCCAAGUGUUCAACGGAACAGGGCCCAAAAUUUUGAGGGGCCCAUUUUUUUAGUGCCUUAUACACAUAAUAUAUAGUUUUGGAAAAAAUAAUUAUAAUUUCAUUUCAAAAAAGAAAAGUGCAGAUAGAAUAAAGUUUAAAAAAUAAUAUACGCUAACUAAUUAUCAAUUAUAAUUAUAAGUAAACUUAAAACAUGUUAUGUUAUAUUGAUCUUAAAUAUUAAAAUUAAUCAUAAUAAUUUAAUAUAGACUACUAGUCUUACUUAUUUCAUUAAAAUAUAAUACAACCGUGAACACUAGGGUUUUGUAGACAACUUCUACAUUUUAUCAUUUUUUUGGUAAUUCAAUUCUUAGGUGAUUAAUUUAUUUUAUUUUAUAACUACAUGCAAUGUUUACAUAUUAAAUGAAAAAUAUUAACUUAUAAAAUUACAUUGAUUAAAUUAUAUAUUUAUAUAAAAUUUAAAGAGGUUUACAUAUAAAUAGGUUUAUGUCAUUGUUUUUUUUGUUUAUAAUGAUUACAUCUUAUUAAUUAUGUACUUGUAAUUUAUCUCUUGAUUUUCGAUAUAUUUAAAUUAUAUUAUAAAAGAAGAUAUUUAGUUAAUUUUUGUAUUUUAUUUACUUUAUUAUUUUAUUUUAUUUUAAUUAUAGGGCACUCGUCUAAAAUUUUGUACAGGGCACAUAAAAUCUCAGGCACGGCUCUGUUUGUAUGGUUCGCAUGGUGGUCCCCUUGUAUUGCGUUCUAGUGGAUAUCUUCAUCUCUAGGUAACAAGAGGUUGAAGGUUCGAGUCUCAGUGGAGACAUGUAUAAGUAUGUGGGUGAGGUCGUGUACAUUAUUAUUCUAUAAUAAAGAGGGAACAUUGUUACCAUAAUAGUAACUACGAUUCCAAUUCCACAAGGUUAAAAUAUUAGACUGGAAUCCGGGAUUGAAAUAAUAUUACAAAGUUAAAGAUUUUUUGCACAAAUUUGACUGCUAGGAGAAUAAUAACUUGGCAGUAAAAUUUUGUACUGAUUAUACAUCAAAGUGUCCAUGUAAGUAACAAAUAUACUCACUGUCACCACAUACAACAACUGCAUAAUAGAGUUGCUCACCUCAUAAGUUAUUCAAGUAUCUAUUAUUACGGUCACAGAUGAUGUAUCAUCUCAUGUAUAUCUUUUAAGGCCAUCCUCACUUCUUUCUGUUUUAGGAAAGGAACAGGGAACAAGUGAGGAUAUAUAGUUUCUUCUUACAUAUAUACAGGCUAAUCAUGCCAAAAUUGACUGCCAAGGUUAUAUGUUCAUGCAUAUUAGAGUUUAUAUAUACAGCACCGACUGCAAUUCUUAUUUGAUGCUGAAAUUAGCCAUCUUUCCUAGUUCUUCCACCUCUUUCGCUAAUACUUCCACUUUGUCCACUAUCUCCAUCAACAAAAACAUAAAACUUGCAAUGGCGAUACUUUCACCUGUAUCUAGUUCCUCUAGCUUUGGAGAUUUUAGGAGGCUUAAUUCCAUUCUCAGGGUCUGCAGCUUUGGCAACAUCAAGAUUGUUGCAUGGCACCUCUUCAUUUUAAUGAUGCUUUCACCCAGCUCUCUCAAAAUCUGCACAAGUUUUGAUCCAACAAUCUUGCAUGGCUCUUUAAGUUCUUGUCUUGUUGUCGAUGAUGGCUGUGGAAAAUUUGAGAUCAACUAUUUAAGUUGCACUAGAUAUGAAGAUAUCGUUCUGGACGGUGUAAAAGUUUAUAAUUGUUUAUAUAUAGAGUUAUGCCACUAUCAUUUCAGCGAUAAGGGAUUUGAGUAUCACUGACCUGUUUGGGAGAUUCAACACAUCCUUUCAAACAAAUAAUGGUCGCAGAAAGAUCUCUAAGAGCUUCUCCUAUGCGCAGAUACUUUUCCCAAGGAUAAUGAAAGCCAAAUUUUCCAUGCCUCGGUUCCCACUUUGCAAAAUUGGCCUGAAAUAGGUUGUAAACUAAUUCGUAAGCUAUAAGAGUUUUAUUUGUUAACACAUUUGGUGAAUAUUUCACUUCAUUGAUAUAUGUUACAACUUUUGCCUUUAUCAAUGUACAAAGGAGAUAAUUUGAAACAUGAAGCAGAAAAAAUUUGAAAUAUCUAUCAGAAUUAAUCACUGGAUAAUAUAUAAAUAAAUACCAGGGACUCUUCAGUUGAUUUUGAGUAUAAUGCUGACUUGCAACUGCCUACAUUAGCACUUGGCUGCUUUUCAUUCUCUCCAAUUAUCUUAAAGUAGUUCUCCAAGCAUCCUGGUUAUUGCAAAGUCAUCUCAAAUUACUCAGUGUUUGUCGUAAAGGAACUUCAGUCAAAUGGCUAAAAACGAGUUUUCCAAACUUGGAUGCUGUAGAUUCGUGUAGCUCAUCACUAGCCCACAUGGGAAAGAUCAGUAAGUUGGUGAAUAGGCAGACGAAGAAACCCAUACCAAUUGUAGAGAGUCGUUCACGGGCCAAUGCCAUGACUUUAUCAGCUCGAACACCAGACACAACCACCAGACUGAAGGAAUUAUUCAAAUUAUUCUGUGAUCUCUCAUAUUUAUGAGAGGUGGACACACAUGGAGCUCAAGUUUGAAGGAGACUUGGAUAUCAGGUACAAUAUUAUAUGGCAAAGGAUAAAUCUGCCAAACCAAUGAUGAUCAGUCAGAAAGUGAUGCCAUCACAAGGCUCUAAUGCGGUAUAUCAUGUUGGGCUACUAUCCAUGCCUAUGAUGAUUGACUAUAUUGAUGGCACACGCAUAGUGGGUAAUUAUCGGCUCUGAUGUGUCAUCAGUGUGAUUUUUAAAAGGAAUGCGUAUCAAUCAGAAAACAUUUCUUAUUCUGUUCUCACUAUCAGGUCAUGGAUAUGUUGAGAGGAAGUGAACGUAACAGAUGAAAUGACUGAGCAUGACCGAAUAAGUACACUAGUCGACUAAGACAGGACGGUUCACUAGAUGCAUCAUGGACCGAGUGCUUCGGAUUAAUGGCAAUGGAGGUGAGGUCUUGCAUUUUGCAGGAGACAAAUGAUAAGAUAUAAGUGGAGAGGCCACUGAGAAUGCAUAAGCAGGAUAUCUUAUGGUAAGAGUACAAUGAGACCUCUUUCGACUGAUGUGAUCACUUGUUUCCAUUACUUGUUGUCAGCCUCAUUUUUCAUUUCUCAGUUAGGUUCCUGUCUGAUGGCACUUCCCUUUGUUUUUCCAUAAAUUGCUAAUGCAUUGCAUGAUUAAGCUUUGAGGUUUUUUCAUCAACUAUAUUUGUGCAUACAGCAGUAUCUUAUCAUCUUUAAGUGCCUGCUAAUUGAGAUUAACAAGAGUA